CACAAAAAAGGCUGAUUAUGGAUUUCAUAGUCAUCACUUCUAUAUUGAUCCGGUUUGUCUUUUUGAAGUGAUGGAAGAUGAUAAUGUACGGCGAAUCGGACAGCGUGUCCUCCGCCUGUGCCUGUGUGUCGGUGAUGGAGGUGUCCUAUUGAAGCUUUGAUACAAGAUCUUGACAGCCAUAGUGACCGGCGCAUUGAUCGAGUCAUUAACAGGAGGAGGCAGAACUAUGGCUUGGCGAGAUGUUCUUGAUCCUGUCGUGUGUGUGCUAAUGUUUCAGACUGCCACACAUGGAACAGGAAAGGCGUGAGCAGUCAAUCAUGCUGCAGAUGUGUUGAAAAGAGGGAAUAAAAAAAUCAAUCGUCACAGCCAUCCGAACUGCAGCGGGAUAAAGACUCUGCCCAUGUCAACAAGCUGAUAAAAUGGCAUGCCUGACUUCACACGACGACCAGCCUGCAAAGCUGCAUAGUCCAACAUGUCUUAUUAUUAUUCUGGGAACCAUCUGGUCCCUCCACAGCUGCCAGUGUGCGGGGCCAACGGCGGCCCGAGGGCAAUGCCACCAUCAUCACGCUCCAGCGUGGCUCAGCCUGCUCUUCCCUGCCACUCUGACAUGGAAAUUCUGUUAGGCUUCAGCCCAUCAGAGCCAUCAAAACUGCAUUCCCAUAAUCUGCAGCCAUCAAAAGUGACACAAUUCCGUCCUCCACCUUAAGAUGGCAGUAGAGUCUCAGCUAUAUCACGUAGGGGGCGUGCUAGAGAAUUAUUUAAGUCUUUCCAGGGCUAUUUAUUUUAUUAUUUUUUUGUUUAUCCUUUAUAUUUGGUGACACACAGAGUUUUAGUGUAAUAGAAAGUUCCGUGGGUGAGG
ensembl:lncRNA